rnacentral:rRNA from 1 species
AACUCCUCGAAUCAGGCAGGGAUACCCGCUGAACUUAAGCAUAUCAAUAAGCGGAGGA